GAUGAACGCUAGCUACAGGCUUAACACAUGCAAGUCGAGGGACCGGCGCACGGGUGAGUAACACGUAUCCAACCUGCCCUUUACUCGGGGAUAGCCUUUCGAAAGAAAGAUUAAUACCCGAUAUAAAGGAUGGGGAUGCGUUCCAUUAGGUGGUUGGUGAGGUAACGGCUCACCAAGCCUUCGAUGGAUAGGGGAUCUGAGAGGAAGGUCCCCUGCAUUGGAACCGAGACACGGUCCAAACUCCUAGGGGAGGGAGCAGUAAGGAAGAUUGGUCAAUGGGCGCUAGCCUGAACCAGCCAAGUAGCGGGAAGGAUGAUGGCUUAUGGGUCUUAAACUUCUGUUAAAUAAGAAUAGGUAUUAUAUGAAUAAGGAUCGGCUAACUCCGUGCCAGCAGCCGCGGUAAUAC
rnacentral:rRNA from 1 species